rnacentral:rRNA from 1 species
UACGAUCCCGCGUAAUGCACUAAAUGUGUUAGUUGAUCUUGGCUCACACUGCAGACGCUGUUUGACAGCCUAACACAUGCAAGUCGAACGGCAGCACAGGAGAGCUUGCUCUCUGGGUGGCGAGUGGCGGACGGGUGAGGAAUACAUCGGAAUCUACUCUGUCGUGGGGGAUAACGUAGGGAAACUUACGCUAAUACCGCAUACGACCUACGGGUGAAAGCAGGGGAUCUUCGGNCCUUGCGCGAUUGAAUGAGCCGAUGUCGGAUUAGCUAGUUGGCGGGGUAAAGGCCCACCAAGGCGACGAUCCGUAGCUGGUCUGAGAGGAUGAUCAGCCACACUGGAACUGAGACACGGUCCAGACUCCUACGUGGAGGCAGCAGUGGGGAAUAUUGGACAAUGGGCGCAAGCCUGAUCCAGCCAUACCGCGUGGGUGAAGAAGGCCUUCGGGUUGUAAAGCCCUUUUGUUGGGAAAGAAAUCCAGCUGGCUAAUACCCGGUUGGGAUGACGGUACCCAAAGAAUAAGCACCGGCUAACUUCGUGCCAGCAGCCGCGGUAAUACGAAGGGUGCAAGCGUUACUCGGAAUUACUGGGCGUAAAGCGUGCGUAGGUGGUCGUUUAAGUCCGUUGUGAAAGCCCUNGGCUCCACCUGGGAACUGCAGUGGAUACUGGCCGACUAAAAUGUNGUAAGGGUAGCGAAUCCUGUGUUACAUGAAU